CCUGAAAUGACAAAAUAUAAAAGGAUUGCAGAAUUAUGGUUCUGUCCUCCAGAACUGAAAAACACAUUUUGGAGACAAAUAGAGAAAUCUCAGCUUUAAAAAAUGAGCCCUUAUGUUGUGCUGGCAACCUUAUUAACGAAGAAAUUAUAUUUAUUGUUUGCUGUCUAACUGACAAUAACACCCCAUAUCAAGAAAAAAAUAAUGCCAGCUGAGUCCAGCACAUUUGGAGACAGCUAAAAGAGUAUGAUACUUCCUAACUUCUUCAUUUACUGUAGGGCUAGACUUGAAUAUUUACACAACAAUUGAGUCCCAGUUUCUUCCAUGGCAGCCUCAAAAUUCACUGACCCUAUUCUCUGCACGCUUCCAUGGUACAGACGAUAACCAGGAUUAUAAGGAUGUCUAAUGAUUGGUAAGAUUUGGUGUAGUUUGGGGAUCUGCUCAGAGAAACUGGACCAUCAGUUUCCCAAUGCACUAGUGAGGCAGGUUAAUUAAUUCCUAUUAAAAUCAGCAAAUCGAAAAAGAAAGUGGAAUGGUGAUUUGCAGAUUUCUUUUUAGCAAGCCACAAGUACAUCUAUAUAGUCCUUCCUGUGAAUCUUUUCCACCAUAGCUGGAAAAAGCAGACACACAAGGAUCAUAAGACUACUUCAUGUCAGCUUAGAGGAAGAAACAGAGGUGAAGUUCACAGGCCCCAAAGAGUAAGGUGAAAAAAGCCCCCAGGCUCACUCUUUGCCCUUCAGGGAGCAGAAAUAAUGCGGAGUGAGGAAGAUUGACUGAAAGAUUAGGAUUUUAUAAACUUUAUUACUAGUGUUGGAAAGAGUUACCAACAAAGAACUUUCAGUAUAAAUUUUAGAUGGUGAGAAUAUCAGCAGUAUGCAGGGCCAGAUGAAACAAAUCAUCCAUCAAACUGUAAAAAACCUAUCUCCCCAUCCUUUACCCUUUUGGCAGUGUUAUCUUCCUUUCCCAGUUUAUUCUGCCCUUGCAGACUCUCUACUCAGCUGUAGAAAUUUGCUCUUCCCCUGGAAAAAGACAGCAUUGAUCUAGCAGGCAGGCAUCAGGGUCCAGGAUGACCCUACUAUAACUAUCUGAAGCUGAUGGAGCAAGCAAGAAAGUGAGCACAGAGGGCAAGACAUGAACUCCACAUUGAUGACAUCUAGAAGAACCACAGCAUCUUUAAGAUAAGAGAGAAGAUGCCCCUGAACUUUGAAGUCUGGUGAAAUACAUGCACCAGGCAGCACACAAUACAGAGAGACGUUUGUGUCAUCUGUUUUGGGCUCUGGGACAAGAUAGCCAGGCUGUAGUCUGAAAGAGAUGUAACUAAUCACCAACACACCUGUAAGCAGUGUUUCCUAGAAGAGCUAUCACAUAUUUCUUCUGUAAUAAAGGAGUCAGGCUGACUGACGAUAUGCAUAUGGAUGUCCUCUCCAAUAUAAAUACUGCAAGAAAGGGACUUCUGCAGGAGGUGGGUGCUGGCUUUGGUGAGUGCUGGCUUAGGUCACUGAGCUCUGAGGAGACUGUAAGAGA